rnacentral:rRNA from 1 species
AGAGUUUGAUCCUGGCUCAGAUUGAACGCUGGCGGCAUGCUUUACACAUGCAAGUCGGACGGCAGCACAGAGAAGCUUGCUUCUUGGGUGGCGAGUGGCGAACGGGUGAGUAAUAUAUCGGAACGUACCGAGUAAUGGGGGAUAACUAAUCGAAAGAUUAGCUAAUACCGCAUAUUCUCUGAGGAGGAAAGCAGGGGACCUUCGGGCCUUGCGUUAUUCGAGCGGCCGAUAUCUGAUUAGCUAGUUGGUGGGGUAAAGGCCUACCAAGGCGACGAUCAGUAGCGGGUCUGAGAGGAUGAUCCGCCACACUGGGACUGAGACACGGCCCAGACUCCUACGGGAGGCAGCAGUGGGGAAUUCUGGACAAUGGGCGCAAGCCUGAUCCAGCCAUGCCGCGUGUCUGAAGAAGGCCUUCGGGUUGUAAAGGACUUUUGUCAGGGAAGAAAAGGCUGUUGCUAAUAUCGACAGCUGAUGACGGUACCUGAAGAAUAAGCACCGGCUAACUACGUGCCAGCAGCCGCGGUAAUACGUAGGGUGCGAGCGUUAAUCGGAAUUACUGGGCGUAAAGCGAGCGCAGACGGUUACUUAAGCAGGAUGUGAAAUCCCCGGGCUCAACCUGGGAACUGCGUUCUGAACUGGGUGACUAGAGUGUGUCAGAGGGAGGUAGAAUUCCACGUGUAGCAGUGAAAUGCGUAGAGAUGUGGAGGAAUACCGAUGGCGAAGGCAGCCUCCUGGGAUAACACUGACGUUCAUGCUCGAAAGCGUGGGUAGCAAACAGGAUUAGAUACCCUGGUAGUCCACGCCCUAAAC